UCUUUCUCUCGCUGCCAACAACUUGUUUGUUACAGCUUUUUUUCUUUUUUACACCUUUUGAACGAACUUUUGAAUGUGCUAGAUGGCAAGCAACAUUUUGUCAACAUUAAGUUUGAUUUUUGCAGAAAUGAUGGUAUCUCAUAAAACGUCGGUCGGUACAGAUUUAAAAUCAUCGUAGGCGUCAUUGCAGCGUCACAAUUGGGUGAACAGCUGUUAUAAAACAGACAAACAAAAAUAAUCAGCCUUUCUGAUUUGCAAAUCGUGUAAGGUUAAAUUGCUAUUUUGGUUAAAAUUCAAGAAAUCGUUCAGCCUAAAUGACAGUUAUCGUAAGAUCACAAACCCAGCAUUCGCUGACGUUUCGCUGUUGUGUUUUGUGGACUUUAUGAAAAUAUCAUUUAACUUGUGCGCAAAUCUGUAAUGAAACUCAGCGAGUGUGACCAAGUGAAUUGUGGUAUCGUAGCUUUAGCAUUAGCUUGAAGCUACGUUCAGCUGGUGGAAGAAGAAAAACAUGUUACCGUUUCUUCACAAGCUGUGACUUUUUGUUUUACACUCCACAGAAAAAUAUUAUUCCUGCCUUUAGCGCCAAUGCUAAUGGUUUACUGCGGCUGCGUGACAGAGUUCUGUACGAGCUCUUCUUGAAGUGGCCGCUCUGCUGUCCCCAUACGAGCACCCCAAGCUCCGUAAGCGUGAGCAGAAACUAUGUCCCCUUUUCCUUCCCGGCGUUUAAAGAUGGCGGUCUUGACUCUGAGCGUCUUUGUUAUUUACUUUCAACUUAGUUAUGGGUUAGGGUUAUGGACAUUUUACAGCUUAAAAAAACCUUUGUCAGUGUCCAAAUGUAGAUAGUCCGAUCUGUGUGUCACUAAGCUGUUAAACCCUGGUGUCAGUAGCACAGCAGUGCUCGGUGGCUACUGCUUGACGAGGCUUGUUUUCUCCAAAACUGCCAUGUCAGUUGCUGAGCAACAGUCCUGUCUCGUCCCAAAGGUACUAAAAGGCUUUGAUUGACAGCUGCUGUAAUUGAAUGGGAAGCUGCGUGCAGUCGCUCGAGACAACGCGGGAGCCGCUGUGUGUUGUCUGCGAGGCUGAAUGUGCGACUGUGUGAAGCUGUGGUUAUCUGUCAGUGGCUCACAUCCAGUUCGGGGAAGCUCCAGUGACGCAGACACGGGAUAUUUUCUAAUUACAGGCAUGUACGCAGAUGUGCACCUCCGAAACCACAGGCUAACGGCGUGUGCAUAGCUGAGUCCAGGACUCAUCCUGUCACCCACGCGCCACAGUCACCUUCUUACUCACCACCACCAUGUGCACAACAACGCCAGCUGCUCCUUCUGCUGCCCUCACGCCUCUCAUGGACUGCUGUGCACAAGUCGGACUGCAGUCCAACAACAUAUUGACCAGGUCCGGAACAGAACUCAAAACACAGCCGUGUGUUUAACCUUUUAUCGACGCUUUGUGUGCGCUCAUGCACUCUGACACAGGGUCGCAAGCCAAGAAAGUCUAAGGACCACGUUCAUGUUCCCCAAACUAUCCGGACUCACCCUGCCCAGCCUGCUUGGACCAUGUUCAUAUUACCUGAACCAGUAGGACUUGGCUUGUCCAAACUGUUAGGACUUGCCUUGGAUCAUGUUAAUGUUGCUGAAACAAUCAGGACUUACCCUGUCCAAACUAUUGCGACUCACUCUGGACCAAGUUCAUAUUACUAACCCUUUGGGACCCACCCAGUCCGAACUGUUGGGUCUUGCCCUGAACCACAUUAAUUUGGCCUAAACUGUUGUGAGUAGCCGUGUCCGUACCAUCAGAACUCAGGCUGUCUGACCUUUCCCUGUCUGACCUGUCUAGGUCUGCUCUGGACCACAUUAAUAUUGCCUAAACCUUCGGGAUUCGCCGUGUCCAAAGCCUGUCGGGAUACAUUUUCUUUAGUUUUGAAUUGAGGAACCCGCAGCCUGCGGUGGUGUGGCGGCUGCUGCUUGUCCGGUUGGACAAACUGUAAUGUCCCUCAGCCUGUUCUGUGUUAUUGACAUGAGACGUUUUGGUGGUUAAAUGUUUUUCUGCUCAGUGUUCUUUUGGUGCUCGUCUGAGCCGUCAGUUGUGCUCACAGUCAGAAUGCCCACACAGCUCCUGUCCACCACACACACCUCCGCCUGAUCGAUUCAUUGUCUUCCAAAUCAGGCCUGAAGUUUAUGCCCUGAUUCAUGAAAAUCAGAUAAAAUACAAAACAUCAACUUUAACCAAACCUAAAACAGAAAUCCACAAUAGAUGAAGUUUAAGCAGGAUUAAAUAAUGACAUGGCUCUUAAACGGUCUUAAAUAAUGAGACAAAGUUUAAGCAGGAUUAAUGAAACAAAGUUUAAACGGGAUUAAAUAAUGAGACGAAUCUUAAACAGGGUUAAAUAAUGAGAUGAAGUUUAAGAAGGACUGAGACAACGUUUAAAUGGGAUUAAAUAAUGAGAUUACUUAAAUGAGAUUAAAUAAUGAGACAGUUUAAAAUGGAUUAAAUAAUGAGAUGACUUAAAAUGGAUUAAAUAAUGAAUAAUAAUAAUGAAUAAAUGAAUUUAUGUGGGACUAAUGAGACACAUUUUAAAUGGGAUUAAAUAAUGAGACAAAUCUUAAGGACUCAAUAAUGAAGUUUAAGUGGGAUUAAAAAAUGAAAGUUUAAACAGGAUUCAUUAAAUAAUGAGACAAAUCUUACGGAUUCAAUAAUGAAGUUUAAGUGGGAUUAAAAAAUGAAAGUUUAAACAGGAUUAAUUAAUUAAUGAGACAAAUCUUAAACUGGAUUAAAUAAUGAGCCAGAGUUUAAAUGGGAUUAAAUAAUGAGAUGACGUUUAAGAAGGAUUAAAUAAUGAGACGACUCUUAAAUGGGAUUAAAUAAUAAUGACUUUUUGAAUGUGGAGCCUGAAACUGGAAGUGGGCGUGUCCAUGAAGGAUGUUUUUGUGUUGCAGCACUCCUCCGUUAUUCUCUCGAUGUACAGCGCCGUGUCGUCCGCGAACACUGAAUGUGCAGAUGACACUUUUUUGUUACCAUGGUUACAGUGUUACUUUUGGCCCCUCCCACGCACUUUCUCCAGCUCCUGUAUUUUCUGUACUUUUCCUGCUUUCUUGUCAAAUGAAACCAAAUGAAGAUAUUUAAUAAUAAUUUAUGUAAUAAAGGAUGUGAGAAAGAUUUGAUAUUUUAUGUGUUUGCGACACGUUGGAAGUGAAAACGUUUUGUAUCGGCUCGGUGUCAUAAUAAAGCUUUUUCAUGUGCAAAUAAC